GAUCACGCAGACAUCACUAUCACACUAGGAAAACUCCUCUUUACCACCACAUGAUCCUGGAAGCUUAAUACUAGCCUCCUGAAUGAUGACAAUAUUAGAGACUCUACCAAAACCGCCAUACUAGAAUAUUUUACCAACAAUACCACUCCUGACGUGGACCCAAACAUGACAUGGGCAGCCCAUAAGACGGUCAUUCGAGGACACCUCAUUAGGGCAACCACAUGUAAAUAGCAGACAAAGAUUAGAUUACUAGCAGACUUACAAUCUGACCUUCG